rnacentral:rRNA from 1 species
GACGAACGCUGGCGGCGUGCCUAAUACAUGCAAGUCGAACGCAGUGGGGACGGGGGAGUAACACGUGGGUAACCUCCCAUCAGAGGGGAUAACACUUGGAAACAGGUGCUAAACCGAUACUGAUGGAUGGACCCGCGGUGCAUUAGCUAGUUGGUGAGGUAACGGGUCACCAAGGCCACGAUGCAUAGCCGACCGGAGAGGGUGAUCGGCCAAACUGGGACUGAGACACGGCACAGGCUCCUACGGGAGGCAGCAGUAGGGCAUCUUCGGCAAUGGACGAAGGUCUGACCGAGCAACGCCGCUUGAAGGAAGACGGUCUUCGGGAUGUAAACUUCUUUAGACAGAGACGCGGUACCUGUAGAAUAAGCCACGGCUAACUACGUGCCAGCAGCCGCGGUAAUUC